AGCUAAGAACGAAGUUUUGAAGCUUGGAGACCCCGGACCUCGAUUUCUCCCAUCUCCGAGUUUGGAUUGCCUCUCCUUUCGUUUUUAAAGAGGUAAGUGGAGAUCCUACCCUUCUUUUAUACUUUAUAUAAAUUUUGAGGGGUUUUAGAGAGUUUUAAUGCAUGAUUAGGCUAGAUGUAAAUGUUAGGGUUUAUGUGAGUUAAAUGGUGGAAUGUAUGUUAUUGUAUGUUAAAAUGUGAUGUUGUUGGGGUAUAGACUAGUUUUAAGCCCCCAAAUGCUUAAGAAUGUGUUUAUGCAUGUUUUUGCAUGGUUUGGUUUGAGUUUGGAGGGUUUGGGAGGCAAAUUGUGCAUGAGAGGCUGAGUUCUGCCAUUCUGGAAGAACUCAGGUUCGGCAGCUGAAGCCAUGUUCGGCCGCCGAACCUGCCUGUGGUGGCAUGUUUUGGCUGCCUAAACUCGCCCCCGAAAGUUGGACUUUCGGCUCUGGAGGGGAGUUUCGGCCGUCGAAAGUGCCGCCGAAAGUGCAUGAGUUUCGGAUCUAGAAGGGACUUUCGGCCGCCGAAGGUGCAUGGCUUUCGGAUCUGGAAGGGGGUUCGGCCGCCGAAAGUGCCCUGUUCAGCCUUCCUUUGCAUGUUUUCUAUGAUUAUUUUAUGGUGUUUUAGGGGGUUUUUGGGGAGAUGUUUAGAGUCAUGUUAGUGUAUGUUUGGUCCCUCAUUUGAGUCCACUUGUGUAGGUUCGGACCCGAGGAACCGAGGACCCCAGCAGUGAGAUAGUCUGUUUAGAGUCAGCCUGAGGUGAGUAGAAUGAAUCUUUAUAUUUCAAAGCAAAUAAAAUUCGAGCAUGUUCAUGCAUCACGAAUGCCAUGAUAUAUAUUAGAUUGUUUGCAUUAGAAUUCAUGAAUAUGAUGCAUUGCAUUAAUUAUUGUUGAUGUGGAUGGAUGUUGGAUGAUCCAUUAGUCUUCGAUAUGAUAUGAGAUGGUAUGGUACGGAAGUCCAGGUCGAGACCCAUUCUACGCCCCAGGCACGAUGUUAAGAGAAAGUCCAGGUCGAGGCCCAUUCUAUGCCCCUGGCACAUUGAAAUGUUAUGUUAUGUUAAGGGAAAGACCAGUGGCCCAUUCUACGCCCUGACACUAUUGGAAUGUGUAGAGGGCUAUUGGUGACAAGUCCAUCCUUGAUGUGAAUUGUUUGUGAUAUGAUGCAUUCCAUGAAAGCAUAUGUUUUUAAUAUACUAUUUUACUAUUCUGCUCACUGGGCUCUAGUAGCUCACCUCUUUCCCUUAACCCCCAGGUUUGCAGGUUCGGGAUAGACCAGUAUGUCAGCAAGAGUAAGGGCUCUUUGAAUGUAAUAAUUAGAUGUGGACAUGAGAAAAUAAUGAAAGAUAUUGUAAUGUAAAGUAUUGUAUAAAAAUGUUAUGAGGUUUAGUAUUGUACUUGAUCCUAAUGUUAUGUUAAUCCCCUUUUGUACAUGAUCGUUAUAAAAAGUUUUAAUGUUAAGAAAUGUUAAACUAAGCUUGAUGCAUGAUAUGAUAUCCCACUAAAGCAUUUAAUGAGGGCUUUUGUGUGGGGUUUAUGCUAUGGUUAUGAUGCAUGCACAGGUCAAACUUGGUGAAUGAAAAAGUUUAAAAUUUUUAUGUAAAUGUAUGAUCAUGUAUGGGAUUUAUCAGGUAUGUCAGGAUGUAUGUUAGGCUUGCUACGGGUCCCGGCGACCUUAAGUCGACCUGGAUCCUAGCGCCAGUAGCGGUCCGAUUUCGGGUCGUUACACUUCUGCUCAAAAAGAUAACUUGUGCAGAUAGUAUCAAUUUACUUCCCCACAUAAUAUACAAAUAAAUUUAAUUCCCCAAAUAAUAUACAAAUAAAUACUUGAAAGCAGCAUUACAGAAAUUUAGCUGUUUGAAUACUUAGCAGCUCUAACAUCACAGAUUAAACAGCUGCAUUAAGGUAAUAUCCCCUAUAAUAAUGUCUUACUUGUGCGUGUCAUGAUGAUAAGAUAGAGAGAAAACUUUUAGUUCUUUACUUUGAACUCCCUGGUUCUUCAAAAUCCUUUUAUGCUUAUUUUUUUAUUAUACUACAAAUGCUAUAAAAUAUAUACCCCGAGCCCAAAAUGCCAAAUUCACAUGCUGUGUGUCUUUGACUGCACAGUCCAGGAAUGUAAAGGCCCAGAAGGGCUGGAACCCAAGCAUACAAAAUUGAACAAUUAUAAUAGUAGUAUGAAACAAGGCAAGAAAAAUUGUAAAACAAAACCAUGAUAACAA
rnacentral:lncRNA from 1 species